GAGUGUGAGAGUGUGUGAGAGUGUGUGAGAGUGUGAGAGUGUGUGUGAGAGUGUGUGAGAGUGUGUGAGUGUGUGAGAGUGUGAGGAUGUGUGAGAGUGUGUGAGAGUGUGUGAGAGUGUGUGUGAGAGUGUGUGUGAGAGUGUGAGAGUGUGUGAGAGUGUGUUGAUGAGCAGUGUGGUUUCCAGUGUGUGGAAGUGUUUAAAGACGGCGUGUGUUUUUGUCUGCUCGGGUGUUUAAUGUAACGAUGGGCUCGUGUUGAAUCCUCUAAAGCGAUGGACUGGAACAUGACGUGUAGAGACGUGUCGUUGGGUUAAAGCCCAUGCAAGCUGUUAACUUUACUGCAACCUUAAUGUUCUGAAAAUAACGGUCGUGAACGUUCCUACAACGCUGCUGUAACACUUUAUAUAACGUUCCUGUGAUUACAGCAGACGUUUUUGUGUUUGUUUGUUUGUUUUUUAUAACGUUGUAUGAACGUUAUUUCUAGAACGUUAUGACCCGACCUUCUUAGAACCUGCUGAAUAUUCACUGAGCUGAACGUGGGCUUGGUUUGAAUACUCUUACUGCACAUAUUACUCUGUGUUCGCGCGGUUGAACUUUAUGUUAACUUUAGCCCUCAUUCAGUCGACUAAUUCUGUGGAGUCUGCAGCUCCAACAGCGAAUAAACUGUAAGAAAACCAGUCACUUCGGGAGUUUAGAUGUUUAUUGCGAAACACAAUAAAGUUAUUCAUUUUUUUCAGAUUCUGUUUGAUAGGAAAUGGUUUUGCGUGAGUACACUAAACUAAUCUUCAUUUUCCCUCUCUUUCUUUCACAACUCUUUGACUUUCUGCACCACACCCCAGGUGCACUGAACAGGAAAACGAGAGAGAGAGAGAGCGAGAGCGCGAGAGAGAGCGAGACGGAGGGAGAAAGAGGAAGAGAAGGGUUGUGUCUUUCCGGCCUAGAUUAAUGCGAGUUUAACCUCAGAGAACAGCCACAGCACGGAGAAAAGAACAGAACUGAGACUGAGAUGAAGAGAUGUCAUGGUUAUGAAUAAAAAGUCAUCGUGUUUAAAUCUCUGCUGAAGAAACUAAAGCUGCAGAUGUUUAUGAUUUUCGGGACAUGCUGAAGCUCACGGCACGUACCUGAAUCGAACAUAUCCAAUCGCGGUACAAGAAAAAGCAAAAAAUAAAUAAAAAGCUCUUCACCGAGGUGCUGCAGUGAAACAGGAUGUACCUGCUUUUCAUCUCUCUGGUCUUCUCGCUAGCUCUCGGACCUGACGUCAGGCUCCUGAACGCAGAGGAGUCCACGAGCAUGCCGAGUAAAGAGAGCACGGUCUUCCCGCAGGUGACCGGAUCGAGAUCAGGUGAAAACUCUCCCACUGAGCCUGAGGAAACAACCAUGAAGAACAUGGAGUAUGAUAACAACAACUUCUCCACCACUGAAGGUCUAACAACUGAGACUGGGAAUGUGCCGCAAACAUCAGACGGACGCACAGUGAUGUCCAUUCCAGAGCUUCAGACUACUUCAGAGCUUCAGACCACGUCAGUGCAUCUGACUCCAGAGCCUGCAACCAUUCCUGCGACCGUCAUGACGACGAAUGAGCUCACCACUCCGGCUGCUCCUUCCGAACCCACGUCUCAGCCCGUGACGGAGAAGACCACUAUGACAAACAUCAUCAGCACUAAGCCUCCUGAGACCCCAUCUCAAACCAUCCCUGAUACAACAGCCUUAAGCACAAAACCACCAGUUUUCACACCUACACCUGCUUCUGUUGAGAAAGUGGAGACCACCGACACUUCUCCAACAACCAUGCCCACACCUAGCACCACCACCACCAUCACCACCACCACCACCACCACCAUGCCCACCACCCCCCUCAUCACCACCAUGCCCACCACCCCCCUCAUCACUACCCAGGGGCAGGCCACCAACCUGAACCUUGUACUGUCUACAGAGGGUGAAGGGUCCAGGACGGGAACUAAAUGGUUAAUCAUCGCUGUCAUAGCGUUGGUCAUUUUCGGCAUAUUAACGAUUUUUUGCGUCACCAUCCUCAUCAAACGCAAGCAGAAGCGAAGUGGCAAGCAGAGCUUCGGCUACACGAACGGACAGAGGUCCAAGAAGAAGAAAGGCACGGAGGACAACGUCUGGGCGGGGCCCGUGGAAUUAGGAGGCGGGGAUUGCGAGGCUCCAGAUGAAGGCGAUGUGCAAGGAGAGGAGAAGAAGACGGACGGGGGAGGGGAGGUGACGGGGCUCAGCACUUUCGUGCCUUCGGAGGAGAACGGAGGCGUGGGGCGGCCGGGGUCACCCGAGGUCGGGAAGUGGGAG
ensembl:lncRNA